CACACCCCCACCCCUCCCCCCCCCCCCACACACACACACACUUAAGAGAGGAUUUGAUUAAUGGGGUUGUAAUUGGUCUUAGGAAUUUUCUUUUUGGAUUGUGCAGAUUCUGAUAUCACUACAGGCGAAAAACUGUCUUUGAAAUCUGUUCUCAUGCUUGCGGAUCAGAUGAUCGAUAGGAUUGAAUUUGUCCACUCCAAAUCUUGUUUACAUCGUGACAUCAAGCCAGCUAAGUUUCUUAUGGGAAGGAACACUCGUGAUGAUAAGAGUGCAUGUUUCACAGAAAAAGGUCUUCAUCGCAGAUUUUGGUUUAGCUAGAAUGUAUAAACGUCCUUCAACCGAUGAACAUAUACCCUGCAGAAAAAUUAACAUUUUUGUUGGAACUUCAAGCUUUGCAAGCCUUAAUGCUCACUUUGGUAUCGCUACAUUUUAAUUCUUUUAAUUUGGCAGCAUGAAAAACUUUCAUAAUUGAUGUUUUUAGCCCCACCUAGCGCUUAUAACUUUAUUUCCUGUAAUGGAUAGAACAAAGCCGCAGGGAUGACUUAGAAUCCCUUGGAUAUGUCCUUCUAUAUUUUCUAAGGGGCAGGUAAUAUCAGUGGAUACCUUAUUUAUUUAUUUGUUAAUUCCAAAUCUUAUUGUAAUUCAAAAGCCCCUCCAUUGGCAGUCUUCCUUAGCAGGGACUGCAAACAGGAAAUUCUAAGAAGAAUUGAGAAAAGGUGAAAGAAAUAAAGAUGUGCACACCUAUUGAGGUAGCACGAAAUAGGAGCCACUAUGGAUGUUUAUUUGUGCCUUUGUUUCUUUCUUUCUUCAUUGUCUGAACCCAUACUGUAAUUUCAUGUAACUAAUUCACCGUAUCAUUUAACAAAGUGUUGCGGUUAAAAGAUUUUGCCUCUUAUUUGCAUUACUGUCGUUCACUGCUCUUUGAUGAGAAGCCAGAUUAUGGUUAUCUGAAAAGAAUGUUCAGUACUCUCUUUUAUCGCAAAGGCAUAGAUUUCUUACAUGUAGUUAAUAAGUGAUAUAACAGUAGUAUCAAAGCCACAGCAGUCAUAUUCCAUGUCAAAAACAACAUAUUUUUAGUAUGUUAAUUAUUUUUUUUAAUUUUUUUUUUCCAUACUUUGUAAGAUUCCGAUUAGAUUAUGUGUUUGCCUGGACCAUUUUGAAGCACCAACAAUCAAUUCUUACUGAUUCUCCUGAACGAGUUAAGUGAUUUUUCACAUGUUUGAUACAUUUUUUUCUUUUCUUUUUUCCUUCGCGGCUAAAAUGCUGUAUCACAUUUUGAUUUGUUAAAAUCACUGAUCCUUUAUUGAUAGGGCCAUUGUGCUGAAACAAGCAGUCAGAUAUCCCGUUCCAUAGCCAGUGAUGGAAAAGAAAAUAAACCAUAUGGCAAAUCUAAAGUGCACGAUUCAAGCAGUAUAUCAAAAGGGCAAGGGAUUGAUGCUGCUGACAGCAUCAUAACAAGAGCGAAGACUCCAGAGGAGAAGACAUGGUUUUCCUUCUUUAUGUCCUGCCUACUUUCUAUUUUCCAUGAGUGAAAGAUGCAAUGAUCAAUUGUGCAAUUAUGAAGCUUCAAGCAUACAAAACAAUCAAAAGGAUUGUCACGGCAAGCCAAUGUCUCCAGCAGCUGUGAUGAUAUACCAAAGGCAGGUGCAUCAUGUUUCAGCCGCCCUCAAACACAGAUCACAGAAGCAAACCUUAAAGGAGCCCAUAACACAGAUAGUGAGCAAAGAAGCCCUUCCAGCAGGUCAUCGAAGUCCAACGUCUUAGUGUCUAGCACCAACAGAUCCAAUAUUCAGAAUCAUAACUGCGUUACCAACAGGUUGAAAUUCCUUUGGUUGCAUACUGGUGUAAAAUUUAUGCAUUGUCUGCCUAGGAAAAAGUGUGGCAAGCCGUGUUCAUAUGUUAAGUGACCUCAUAAUCUAGUAUAUAUUACAACCAAUUUCAGAUCGAAAA